UACCAGCACCCCGAGUGGUCGGGACGUUUAUUGGGCCUAAAGCAUCCGUAGCCGGUUCUACAAGUCUUCCGUUAAAUCCACCUGCUUAGCAGAUGGGCUGCGGAAGAUACUAUGGAGCUAGGAGGCGGGAGAGGCAAGCGGUACUCGAUGGGUAGGGGUAAAAUCCGUUGAUCCAUUGAAGACCACCAGUGGCGAAGGCGGCUUGCCAGAACGCGCUCGACGGUGAGGGAUGAAAGCUGGGGGAGCAAACCGG
rnacentral:rRNA from 1 species